ACACACUAGGCAACCUAAGUUGGAAAGCAACUUAACGAAUCUGUCAAAAAAGUUGAGAACAUGUGUAAUCAAAUGGGAGCAUACACACUAGGCAACUGGCAACUUUGGUCGGACCAACUUUUUCGAUUCAACUCAGCAUGUCGAGUCGCGCGCGAUUUGUGUCGGCAACCUUUUCGUUCAAUUGCUGUUGACGUUUUGAUUUCUGCGUUCAUUGAAUUUCAAUAUCUGUCAGUGGUGAUGCAAAACAGUGUUUACAAUAUUGGCGCAUCUGUUUCUAUAAACGAACGAGAUGAAAUGCCAUCAAUAUGCAAGUUCUCUUGAUAUACCGUCCGGGAAGAGUGCUGAAUUAGUCAAGGAUGCGUAUAAUAUUGGAGAUUGAGCAAGAAGCACAGAAUCCGCUGGAUGUGUUUUUUCCAAGUUAACAGCAAUUGUUGCUGUCUGUUGUUAUCAGCGAGCCGAAAUAAAUAGCCUAAGAUUGGAUAAUUCUGGUCAGAUUUCCCGGGAAACCGUUAUCAUCCCUGAUUCUCGAUUGUACCAUGUGCGAAGGUGCGGUCUGCGAAUAUGUGACCCCUGGGAGAAUUUUUCAUUUUAGCGUUAGUGUAUACAUAAAUCA